rnacentral:rRNA from 1 species
UAGGGAAUUUUCGUCAAUGGGGGAGACCCUGAACGAGCAAUGCCGCGUGUGUGAAGAAGGUCUUCGGAUCGUAAAGCACUGUUGUAAGUGAAGAAUGCCAUAUAGAGGAAAUGCUAUGUGGGUGACGGUAGCUUACCAGAAAGCCACGGCUAACUACGUGCCAGCAGCCGCGGUAAUACGUAGGUGGCAAGCGUUAUCCGGAAUCAUUGGGCGUAAAGGGUGCGUAGGUGGCACGAUAAGUCUGAAGUAAAAGGCAACAGCUCAACUGUUGUAUGCUUUGGAAACUGUCGAGCUAGAGUGCAGAAGAGGGCGAUGGAAUUCCAUGUGUAGCGGUAAAAUGCGUAGAUAUAUGGAGGAACACCAGUGGCGAAGGCGGUCGCCUGGUCUGUAACUGACACUGAUGCACGAAAGUGUGGGGAGCAAACAGGAUUAGAUACC